rnacentral:rRNA from 1 species
GACGAACGCUGGCGGCGUGCUUAACACAUGCAAGUCGAGCGGAAAGGCCCUUCGGGGUACUCGAGCGGCGAACGGGUGAGUAACACGUGAGUAACCUGCCCCAGACUUUGGGAUAACCCUCGGAAACGGGGGCUAAUACCGGAUACGACACAGCUUCGCAUGGGGUCUGUGUGGAAAGUUUUUCGGUUUGGGAUGGGCUCGCGGCCUAUCAGCUUGUUGGUGGGGUGAUGGCCUACCAAGGCGACGACGGGUAGCCGGCCUGAGAGGGCGACCGGCCACACUGGGACUGAGACACGGCCCAGACUCCUACGGGAGGCAGCAGUGGGGAAUAUUGCACAAUGGGCGGAAGCCUGAUGCAGCGACGCCGCGUGAGGGGUGACGGCCUUCGGGUUGUAAACCUCUUUCAGCAGGGACGAAGCGUAAGUGACGGUACCUGCAGAAGAAGCGCCGGCCAACUACGUG